AUUGUUUAUAAAUUUUGCAUCUAAUGCACAUUACGGUAGAUUAUGUAUCUUGACUUGUAUUAAAUAGUGAGUUGCUUUUUAAAAGCAUAUUUACGAGUUCGUCCUAUUUGGAAGACAGUCCGUGGACACAUUAAUAUAUAUUACAAGUUCUCCGAGAAAUCUUAAAUAUGAAUGUAAAAAAAGAGAGUCCUACGAAUUCAAGAACAGCAAAAAUAAUGAGCUUAGUAAAGCAUCUAAUAUUUUUACCAAAA
rnacentral:lncRNA from 1 species